GUCAUCGUGGUGUAAUGGUCGCACACUCGGCGCGUAUUCGAGAGGUCCAGGUUCGAAUCCCGGCGAGGACA
rnacentral:tRNA from 1 species